GGGGCAUCUGGCUGUGACAUCUGUCACCCCAUUGAUCCCAGGGUUUAUUCGGCUGAUCUGGCUGGCUAGGCGGGAUGUCCCCUUCCUCCCUCACUGCUCCAUGAGCGUCUCUCCCAAAGCUGCACUCUCAGUCAAAGAGGAUGAAGAGGACGACCUUCCCAGAAUAAAGGAAGAUCGGUCUUCAGUUGAGGUUAUACAAGUAGCUGCACUCCCCUGCUGGAACCUCCAAACAAAAUCUCUAGGUCCAAAUACUUAACUGUUAACGUUUGAGAUUAAGAAAAGAAAAUUAGAAACUGAGUUAAAAGAAGCUAGAUUGCUGUGAAAU
rnacentral:snRNA from 1 species